GUAAAACGUCCUUUGGUUAGUUAGUCAUUCCUUUACUGUUGGCUUUGUUACCACCUUCAGCAGAUAGUCUGGAAGUCCACAUCUC